rnacentral:rRNA from 1 species
AGGUAGUGACAAAACAAACCGAUACGGGACUCAUCCGAGGCCCCGUAAUCGGAAUGAGCACACUCUAAAUCAUUUAACAAGUACCUAUUGGAGGGCAAGUCUGGUGCCAGCAGCCGCGGUAAUUCCAGCUCCAAUGGCGUAUAUUAAAGUUGUUGCGGUUAAAAAGCUCGUAGUUGGUCCUGCGUCCCACGCUGUCGGUUCACCGCCUGUCGGUGCAACUGGCACGCCGUGGGAUGUCCUGUCGGUGGCGGCCGCGGCCCGGCGGGCGGGGUCCAGGACCCGGAACGGGCCCGAAGCCCCCCCCCGGGAAUCGCCGGUCGCCUAUCUAAUCCCGCCGCGGUGCUCUUAACUGAGUGUCGAGGUGGGCCGACACGUUUACUUUGAACAAAUUAAAGUGCUCAAAGCAGGCUGAACUCAGCCUGAAUAGUGGUGCAUGGAAUAAUUGAAUAGGACCUCGGUUCUAUUUUGUUGGUUUUCGGAAUCCGAGGUAAUGAUCAAUAUGGACAGGCGGGGGCAUUCGUAUUGCGGCGUUAGAGGUGAAAUUCUUGGAUCGUCCAAGACCCACUAAAGCGAAAGCAUUUGCCAGGAUGCCUU